UUUGUUUCAAUGCUUCUCUUCUCAUACGAUAUUUCAAGAGCUAUGACAAGGACUUGGAAUUUUGUUUCAGCUACACAGUGAUUUGUUUCUGUUUUUGGUUUUGUUUGUGGAAGAAAAAUUGUUUCUUGUAUUUGCUAACCUAGGAUGUGGUUGGUUGGGUACAAUUAUUUGAUCGACCGCCUCUUCCAAAAGCUGAUCGGUUUCGGUUUUCAUUGGAUUUACUCGUUAUAAUACAUGUCUUUCUUUCUGCAUGUGUAUUCACCAGUUGUUAUUUGAUCGAUGGUUAUGGUUGUAUCGGUGUUACUGGAGUAUCCAUGGUGGUUUAGUGUCUCAACGUUUAUUGUUUGACCUUGCGAUUCAUCAACUGAUGAGCAAAUGCAUGACUAUUUUUCAUUGUAUUAAUGAUUUUUGUGGGAGCUGUUGUUUCAGAAAUGAAUGAUGAGAUGGUUUGUCUUCGUUGGCAUUGGUACCAGAAUAUGUUUUUCAAGUUUUACUCCUUUCGCGUUCUGGUUAAGUCUCGCGUCUGUUCUUUCAAGUUUUGGUUUUUCAUGUGUUGUGGCAUCUAUGUCCAACCCAGUGGUGCUCACUAACAAGGUGGGUUAUGAAGAGACGAGUGGUGCCCCGAUUUGGUUAUGGACUUCCCUUUGUGAUUGCCCAUUUUCGUUUCCCUCCUAUGUUGGCUUGUAAUUAUAAUCCAAAAACUGACUUUUGUACAAAAUCUUAAAAUCAGAGAGUUCUAUGUACCCUUUCAAUCACAAUGACAAAGUUAACUCAAGACAUAGGAUGUUUUCAAUAAACAUUUCAGCAGCAACCACACAAAUUUAUUCACCUAGAAGGUCCAACCUCCAACUUACCAAAUGCUCAUUAGUUUUCAUGCUUAACACUGGCACCCUGAGAAAGAACCUCUCGCAUCUGUACUGCGACGUCUCUCACUGCACCAGGCCCAUGCGGUGUCGAAGUACUGAGUACCAGGGCCAUGUCCAUGACGUCCUUGGCGGAUGUUCCGGGCACAUUCUCAGAGAAAGCACGCACGCUGUCCCUCAGUCCGUCCAGAAUAGCUUGGUACUGCCUAGCAAUACCAAGCCCCAAAUAGUAUUUAGAUUCGGCCUCUCCCUCAGCCCUCUUUCUAUCAGCUGUGAUGACGAGCAAAAAGGUUUAUCAGAAUAAUUACAGGUGAAUGCGGAAUACCAAAUAAGCAUAACACAUGUAUCAUUGCUUGUAUAAGGGUACACGCCCAACUAAAAGACGAAACAUCAAACAUUAUUACCAUGACAUUCGUUGAAUCCUAUAAGAACAAUGUCCAGCUUAUUGAUCUUAUAUUUGAAUGAUGAACCUCCAAAAAUAGUGCAAGACACGUAAUAGUAAGUUAACUUAGGGUAAAUUUAUAUCCCUCGGAAACCAUAUACAUGCACCUUUUGGAGCAUACGGUUCAAAAAAUAUCGUGAAAGAAAGAAUGCAUGUGUAGAUUCCAGCCCCCUUUGUUCUUUUCAUAGUAGGAACCAAAGGACUUUUUCUUCGGUUUUUCAAUAAGGAUAGGUGUUUUUGGCUCCUUUCAAGUGAGAAAUGGGGGAAAAAAUAGUUCCGAAGCGUAAAAAAACAACUUGGGCAAUCAAAAUUCUAAUUCUUGUGUAAGAAACCAAAAGUAGACAUUGCAGUCAAAAUUAUACAGUCGAGUGCAUUGUUUACCUGCAUUUUUGUCAGCCGUAUCCCUCUUCUCAAUAUCCACGAUAAGAAUCUGGACUAUUUCGAACCCAUAAUCAGACAUAGCUGCACACAAACAACAGUUAAAGGAGAAAACAGCUUAAGCAUGGACCUGAUCGUCGUUAAUAAUCAAUGACAAAUGCAUAUUUUUUUGUAAAACACAACUUGUUACCUCUUUAAGUUUGUCCUUCAAAUCUUUUGCUAAAUCAUUCUUCUUUUCAAAAGCAGAAUCCAAGUCCAUCGUUCGUAGACUUGCCCUUGCAACUGAACCAAGAGGACGGAGGAUGCCCAUUCAUUUUAACAUAGAUCUUAACUAUUAUCCAGUACUACAAAAACUAUUUUAUCCAGCACAAUGCAUCAUUAGUGGCAUUGAUUAUAAAAGUAAAAUAUGAAGUAUUCAAGGAGAGGGGACGACGGUGUUCCAUGGAUUGAAAGCCUGAACGUGCGCGGCCAAUGAGAGAUGACGUUAGCCCCAAUUUCCUUCUUUGCAUAUAUACAAUUUUAAAAAAAAAUGCUAUGUUUGGAAGGACUGGAUCCACUUUUUUUUCGACCAUUACAAAAAAACUGGGAUAUUUAAUCUGGAUUAAUCCACUUUUUCGUACAGCUCUUGACAACUACUCGACCAUUGGCAAAAAAAUUAAUGGAAUUAAGAGUCACUACAUCGCAAGACAAGGAUGCAUUACUUGCAAAUUCAGAAGAUAGAAGGUAGCGUUUCCAAAUAUCGAAACAGAAGAAAUGGGAUGUGAAAUCAACAAUUGCAACAAGAACGUGAUCCAUAAGAGAUCGGAGUCUGAUUCAC
rnacentral:lncRNA from 1 species